AUUCCUCGCCUUAAGUCCCACAGCCACUCGCCAAUUUGCUUGACUCAAGUAUCUCAUCGUCGGCCUAUCGUAGGACGGUUGCCUCACCAUGACACCCAGCGCUGCUCUCUCUUAGCUCCGCCAGCGCUUAGCACUGGUCACCCUGCUCCCUCGUCUGGCCAGCGCACCGAUGGAGUGUCCUAGGGCUUGCCAGCUACGUCGUUCCAGCCUCCAGGCAUUUGCGUCACGUCCCCCCCCCCACUGGCCACCGUCCCUGUGUGCAGCUCACCACCACUCCCCCAGGCCCCAACGACUGCAGCCUGCAGGAGAGGAAUUGGUCUGAAGAAUAGAAAGAGAAAGUGUCACUAGAUCCGAAUUAUAGAAUAUCUGGAUAGGGUGAGCGAGUUCAUGAAGUUUGUUGCAUAGCGAUGUGCUGAGAGCAAGGAGAUCAUAUCUUUGGAAUUGGAGCUACACACUACCGGAAUCGCGUUCUUUGCCGAGUGUCUAAGACACUCGGCAAAUGCUAUUUUACACUCGGCAAAGCCUUUGCCGAGUGUAACACUCGGCAAAGAACACUCGGCAAAGAUUUCAUCGGCAAAGGGUUCUUUGCCGAGUGUUUUUUUCGGACACUCGGCAAAGACUUUGCCGAGUAUCAAAAAGCACUCGGCAAAGAAAAACACUCGGCAAAUUAAGAAUAAAAAAAAUUAAAAAAAACAGCAAAACAUUUUUUUAAAUUCUAGGAACAACUCUCCAAUCCUACCUAUCACCUUAUCUGUUGCCCUAUCACUUUUCACUAUUAUUUUAAAUCAAAUUUAGAUACUUUGUAAA